CAGUCGCCACGGUAAUACGAGGGGGGCAAGCGUUGUUCGGAAUUAUUGGGCGUAAAGGGUGCGUAGGCGGUUUGGCAAGUUUGGUGUGAAAUCUUCGGGCUCAACUCGAAGUCUGCAUCGAAAACUGCCGGGCUUGAGUAUGGGAGAGGUGAGUGGAAUUUCCGGUGUAGCGGUGAAAUGCGUAGAUAUCGGAAGGAACACCUGUGGCGAAAGCGGCUCACUGGACCAUAACUGACGCUGAUGCACGAAAGCUAGGGGAGCAAACAGGAUUAGAUACCCGAGUAGUCCCUGUCUCUUAUAC
rnacentral:rRNA from 1 species